GUGACAAGCCCAGGCCGCACCGGUAGAACCGCAGCUGGAGCGGCGCACGGAUAAAACCUCCUGUAGACGGACCCGUCCCAGCACAAGCCAUACCUGCAGACAUCAUAUAGCUAUCUGACAAGACCCUGAUGCUGUGCUGUCCAUUCAAGUCUGAUACUAACAACACACUGCUCUUGGCCUACAGAAAGAGGAUGUAACUGAGCUGAAACUCUUGAAGGUUAAGUUUUUACAGGCUCCUGGAGCACUUGAGUAACUUCUUGGCCAGCAUAGAUUGUUUCUGAAAUCAUCUGAACCAUGUGCCUUGGUCAUUAGAAGGAAAGACCACCAUUUAAUUACAGGAAAUGUAAUUCAGACAGACAACAUACUUUGUAGUAGAAAAAGAUAAUAUUUGGGUAUUCCAAACUGCCCAAGAGCCAAAGCAGGAGAACCUCAGAUGGCAAAGAUGGGAAGCGGAAGAAAAAAUGAGGCCUGUAGAAGACUUCUGUUCUGUUCUUUUCUGUUCUAUGAUCCUACUCUUUCUCCAUAAACCACAACUGUUCUAUCUCUAGUACAUUAUUCAUACUUGCUGGUCUUCCAUUAAUAGAUUAGUUCAGCUGGAAAGGACCUACAACAAUCAUUUAGUCCAACUGCCAGAGAAAUUUAGGACUGACCAAAAGUUAUGCACCUAACUUUUACACAUUUUACUCAAGCGCGUUUUACUCAAGUUAUUGUCCAAAUGCCUCUUAAACACCAACAGCAUGGGGCAUUGACCACUCCCUAUUAAGCCUGUUCCAGUGUUUGACCACCCCGUUGGUAAAGAAAUGUUACUUAAUAUAUAGUCUGAGCCUCCCUUGAUGCCACUUCAAACCAUCCUGAUGCAUCCUGCUACUGGAUACCAGGGAGAAGAGAUCAGCACAGAUUUCAUGCUGUACAUGCUAUGUCUUCCCACUGUCUUGUCUCCACUAAUAUUCUGACCUGAUUUAUUUACUAAAACCCCCACACCCAACCCCAACAUAGCCAACAUUAAUUGGAUUAGAAUCUGAUUGUCACAUUAAAAAAAUCGCUGAGCAAACACAGCCUUUUAACAGUGCAGUCACAGUUAGCAAAGUUCCUAGAUAAACUGUUCUCUAUGCAGUAAUGAAUGUAUUACAAAUUGUGAUCCAUUAAACAAAGCAAGUACAAAAACAGUGUCAGUAAGAGUUGCAGAUAACUGAAAAAGUAUAGUAAGUAAAAAAUGACAGGAAGAAAUCAGUUAUGCAUCAUUUCAAGGAGCAACUGUAGAGUAUGUAUUUUAUUUAUUACAUCAAGGCAAUUUUAAGUGUGCAACAGGGCACCUAAUCACUCUACAGUAAAUGAAAGGUGUCUCUUUACAUUGAAGUUACCAUGAAAUACUAGUUGCAGUGCAGUAAUAAUACACAAAAACAUCAACUGGGAAUACUGCACAGUGGACACAAAUAGGUCCAGGAAUUUCCUGAAGCACGUGGAAGAUAACUUUGUCCGGGUACUACAGGAGUUGACUACGAAAUAUACCCUCCUAAAAAACCAAAACAAAAAAAAACCAAAUAAACAAACAAACAAAAAAAAAAAAA
rnacentral:lncRNA from 1 species